rnacentral:rRNA from 1 species
GACGAACGCUGGCGGCGUGCUUAACACAUGCAAGUCGAACGGAAAGGCCCUGCUUUUGUGGGGUGCUCGAGUGGCGAACGGGUGAGUAACACGUGAGUAACCUGCCCUUGACUUUGGGAUAACUUCAGGAAACUGGGGCUAAUACCGGAUAGGAGCUCCUGCUGCAUGGUGGGGGUUGGAAAGUUUCGGCGGUUGGGGAUGGACUCGCGGCUUAUCAGCUUGUUGGUGGGGUAGUGGCUUACCAAGGCUUUGACGGGUAGCCGGCCUGAGAGGGUGACCGGCCACAUUGGGACUGGGAUAGGGCCCAGACUCCUACGGGAGGCAGGAGUGGGGAAUAUUGCACAAUGGGCGGAAGCCUGAUGCAGCAACGCCGCGUGCGGGAUGACGGCCUUCGGGUUGUAAACCGCUUUCGCCUGUGACGAAGCGUGAGUGACGGUAAUGGGUAAAGAAGCACCGGCUAACUACGUG